UAUUAUUAUUAUUAUUAUUUUGUUAUUAUUUAAUAUUUCCUCCGAACCAAUUUAGUUGUCCUAUUUUCUUAUUUGGCAAAGUCUUUUUAGCUGUCUCAUUUCUAUUUUUGUCAAUCUUUUUUUACCUAAAUAUCCUUAGUUCACACAAGUAAUUACGAAUAUACCCUCAUAUACCUUACUCACCCAACUACCCUUUACUACUUACCUUUACUACUUACCCUAUUUAAUGGACCCUACACCAUUCUUAAUAACCGUGCCCAAACAAAUGGGACAUCUAAAUUGGUUGGGAGAGAGUAUUAUUAUUAGAAUUAUUUUAUUAUAUAUAUUUUUUAAUGUAGUUGAAAUUUUAAUUAUUAAAGUAAAUUAUUUUUUAUUUUUUAUUGAAUAUUUUUAUUAUUAAUGUUUGUUUGUAUAAUGUUUUAUUAACCUAAUGUAUGGUUUAUUUCAUAUUUUAAAUUUGCGGGACUUUGAAAAUUUAAUGGACAAUGUAGAUUACUCUGGUAGAUUUGUUACGGAUAGAAAAUAUAAUUCCAUAGAUGAAUUACAUAGUUGGGCCGAUGAGAUAGCUAUAGGAAUUGGUUUUCAAUUUACACGUGAUUCAUAUAAACAAAAAGAAGGACGUUCCAGAGUUAGUUUGUAUUUAAAAUGUCACCGCUAUGGUAAUAUUAGGGGUGAUUUGGAUAACCUAGAUAAUGUUGUCCAACCUGGUUCUAAGAGUAGAACAUGUCGGUGUAAUUUUAUGAUUGUAGUAAAUAGUCGUAAACCAGGAGAAAGACAUUGGACGGUGAGGGUGUGUCCUGGGAAAAACGUAGACAUAACCAUCGAUUCUUAGUGUACAGAGAUGGUCAUAUAAGGGCAAAUAGGUUAAAAUUAGAUAUUCCGCAGCACAUACGAGAGCUUAGUGCAACCGGCAUGCAACCUGCUUUUAUCAUGACUUCAAUUAGAGAAAAUUUUCUUGGUUUUUUUUGCUAGUAUGAAUCAAAUAUAUAAUGUUUGGCAAUCAAUAAGGAGAGAAGAGAUGGAAGGUAGGACUCCCCUUCAACACUGUCUUUAUAUGGCCACAGAGCAUAAUUACGUGGUUUAGACAGAUUUGGAUAGUGAAGGGGAAUUGAACAGAUUAUUAGUUGCAAAUCCUACCUCCAUCCAGAUGAUACGUAUGUGGUAAUAUGUUGUGUUGAUACAUACAAUGUACAAAACAAACAAACAAAAGUGGCCACUGUGUGAAGUAAUCGGAAUGACGCCAACCAAUCACAACUUCUUGAUUGCGUUUUGUUUGAUGCGAGAUGAGGCAGCUGUGUCAUAUUCGUGGGUGUUGCAGGGAUUGAGAAAUAUUUUUGGCACAGCUCAAACUCUUAGCGUCAUUGUAACUGAUCGAAAUGAGGAUUUAUCUGCAGCUAUUCGUGAUGUUUUCCCAGAUGUGCGACAUUUGUUAUGCGUAUGACAUAUUGUCAACGACGUUGAGAACAUGGUGAACAAGUUGUGUGGUGGGAAAAGAAAUCAACAAGGGCAGGUAUUCAGGAAAAGUAGAUGGAACCCCUUGGUUGACAAUUCUACACUCGCCGAAUUUGAAGACAGAUGGCAAUCGAUUUUGAGUACCUGGUCGGUUUAGAACAGAUUGGUCGUUCGAUAUUCUGCUAGAACAUGGAUUCCACUUAAAGAGAAAUUUGUGCGUGCAUGGACGAAUGACUGUUUACACAUGGGUAACCAGACUACCAGCAGAGUUGAAAGCCAACACUCGUCUUUCAAGUAUUAUCUUGGUAGCGGUAAUAGCUCAUUUGAUACUCUGUUUAAAAGGGCACACACACAGAUAACAAAUUAGCAAGCUAGGAUCCGAAAAACGUUAGAGGAAUCCAUGAAUUUUAUUUCAAGGACGUUGCGACAUCAUUUCUUUAGACCUUUAUAUCGCCAUGUAUCUAUUUUUGCCUUGGAACAAUUCCAGCUUGAGCAUAACCGUAAUGCGGUUGUGCACUUCAACGCACCCAUGGAUUGCCGUGUGCUUGUUAUUUCUAUCUGUCGCUCAGGUCACAUGGUUCUUUGUAUUUGGAUGAUAUUCAUCCAUUCUGGAGAACUUUGACGUACACAGAGGUAGGAGUUGACACCAACGAAGGAGUACGGCACGCAAACGCCGACGACAAAGAGUACUUUCAAUCGUUGGUCGAUGAAGUCUUAAAAGCUGAUCCCGCAGUUGUACGACUCUUGUCUCAGGUACUUGAAGAUGAAUUACACCCUGAUGGAGCCGAUAUACCUUAGCCUUACGCAAGUCCACCUAGAAAGCGAAGACCAACCACAAGCAAAACCUUUAGAAGAAAUAAAAGAGCAUUUGAAUAUAGCAGAUUAUCUCUCAUGGUCGAGGGUCUGGAUCUUCAUCCCGCGAGAGAUCCAGUGGUAAAUCUAGUGGUCGAGAAACGCAAUCCUCCGUUGGAAUUAAGUUUAAUUUCAACUUAUCUGAUGGUUCAGCAGGUCGUGAUUUUUCACUGUUUCCAUUGCCGAAUCACAUCCCGCAUAUUCUCCCUCCUUACUUGUUUGAUUGGAUUGAUGUUAUGGGUAACGAUAAUUGUGGAUU